AGAGUUUGAUCCUGGCUCAGGACGAACGCUGGCGGCGUGCCUAAUACAUGCAAGUCGAGCGGACCGGAUUGGGGCUUGCCUUGAUUCGGUCAGCGGCGGACGGGUGAGUAACACGUGGGCAACCUGCCCGCAAGACCGGGAUAACUCCGGGAAACCGGAGCUAAUACCGGAUAACACCGAAGACCGCAUGGUCUUCGGUUGAAAGGCGGCCUUUGGGCUGUCACUUGCGGAUGGGCCCGCGGCGCAUUAGCUAGUUGGUGAGGUAACGGCUCACCAAGGCGACGAUGCGUAGCCGGCCUGAGAGGGUGACCGGCCACACUGGAACUGAGACACGGCCCAGACUCCUACGGGAGGCAGCAGUAGGGAAUCUUCCGCAAUGGGCGAAAGCCUGACGGAGCGACGCCGCGUGAGCGAAGAAGGCCUUCGGGUCGUAAAGCUCUGUUGUGAGGGACGAAGGAGCGCCGUUCGAAGAGGGCGGCGCGGUGACGGUACCUCACGAGAAAGCCCCGGCUAACUACGUGCCAGCAGCCGCGGU
rnacentral:rRNA from 1 species